CCCCUACAGGUGAAGCAUCUUUGAUGCCAAGGCUGGAAUUGCUUUGAACGACAACUUUUUGAAACUUGUCUCUUGGUAUGACAACGAAUGGGGAUAGAGCUCGCAUGUUAUUGACUUGAUUGUCCACAUUGCAUCUGUGGAAGCCUAAAUGCUCGAUAGGUGAAUGGUCACCUGGUCUUCGACCACGGCUAUGUGUUGGUUUUUCUUUCGAGUUUGAAUAACAAGAAUCUUUCAUACAAGGUUUUUGGGGUGCUACAUAUUUUGGUACAUGUUGUAGGCUCUUUUUUGGUUGUUUCUAGUACUCUUGGUUGUUUCUUUUGUUUAGCGAAAAAAAAAAAAAAACUUUCCUAAUUGUAAUCAGUUUCACCACAUAAUAUGAUAUUAGCCUGGUUGAAGAUUUA